GGGGAAGGGCUUCUCCCAAGAAUAUGGGUAUGAUCUAAAAGCAGCAGAGGUUCCCUGCUGCAGGAGCUAGGGAAGGAACCCAGAAGUGGAGCAUCUGAAGGGCUGAAGGGACAAACCAUCCAAUUUGCUAGUGGAAGAGCAUCUUCAAUUUGGCAACUGAGGUAAAGAGGUUCUUAGAGGGCGAACAAGAAGGACUUCGAAGUGGACAGAAUCUCAGCCCAUCAGCUGAGUGCUGCUGAAUACCCCCACUUGAGAGACUGGACCUGGAGUGAGUAUACAACCCCAUCAAUACCCCAAGGGGGUUCUGUUGAAAGACCAGAACAAUGACAAUCCCACAGUUUUUGAAAAUUGAAAACUUUUGAAUUUGUUGGUCUCUAUUUUGGAAUGCAAGUGCUUUUGCACUGACUGUUAUGAGGAGUUAAAUGCAAGAAGCCUUUUUCAAAAUGGAUUGAAAAACACAAAUAAAAAAUGGAAGAGUUACAAUUAAAAUAAAUUAAAAUAAAGAAUUUAAUGAACAUUCCUUCUGGAAAAAAAA